rnacentral:rRNA from 1 species
CAUAACCUCGGGAAACUGAGGAUAAACCGCGAUAGGCCAAGGUUUCUGGAAUGGACAAUGGCUGAAAUCUACAUGGCCCUUGGAUUGGACUGCGGCCGAUCAGGCUGUUGGUGAGGUAAUGGCCCACCAAACCUAUAACCGGUACGGGCUUUGAGAGAAGGAGCCCGGAGAUGGGCACUGAGACAAGGGCCCAGGCCCUAAGGGGCGCAGCAGGCGCGAAAACUCUGCAAUAGGCGAAAGCUUGACAGGGUUACUCUGAGUGAUGCCCGCUAAGGGCAUCUUUUGGCACCUCUAAAAAUGGUGCAGAAUAAGGGGUGGGCAAGUCUGGUGUCAGCCGCCGCGGUAAUACCAGCACCCCGAGUGGUCGGGACGAUUAUUGGGCCUAAAGCAUCCGUAGCUUGUCCUGCAAGUCCUCCGUUAAAUCCACCUGCUUAACAGAUGGGCUGCGGAGGAUACUACAGGGCUAGGAGGCGGGAGAGGCAAGCGGUACUCAGUGGGUAGGGGUAAAAUCCUCUGAUCCACUGAAGACCACCAGUGGCGAAGGCGGCUUGCCAGAACGCGCUCGACGGUGAGGGAUGAAAGCUGGGGGAGCAAACCGGAUUAGAUACCCGGGUAGUCCCAGCUGUAAACGAUGCAGACUCGGUGAUGGGUUGGCUUCGCGCCAACCCAGUGCCGCAGGGAAGCCGCUAAGUCUGCCGCCUGGGGAGUACGGUCGCAAGACUGAAACUUAAAGGAAUUGGUGGGGGAGCACCACAAGGGGUGAAGCCUGCGGUUCAAUUGGAGUCAACGCCGGGAAUCUUACCGGGGGCGACAGCAGUGUGAAGGUCAAGCUGAAGACUUUACCAGACAAGCUGAGAGGAGGUGCAU